AAUAACAUUUUAUUUAGUACAUUAAGGAAACAUGAUUUUUAGUGAUAGUAGAUUAGUACUGUGAAGGGCAGUUGAAAUAUGUGAAAUUUAAUUUUUAUUAAGUAGAUUUUCUUUAUUGUACCUUUUGUAUCAGGGUUGAUUAAAAUUUUUAAAUCUAUUUUUUUAUCCCGAUUUUAAAAGAGCUAUGUUAGUAAUUUAUUUAAUGUGGAAUAAUUAUUGAUAAUACAUCAUAGGUGGGAUAUCUAAUUCGUUUUUAAAGGUAUCUGGUUUUUUAAUAAUUAAAUUUAAUUUAUUCUUUAUAUUUAAAUGUCUUAUUUUUAAGGCUUUUAUAUUUAAAGUUAAAUAUUAUAGGGGAUAAGCUCUAUAUUAUUUCUAUAAUUGUUGAUUAUUUCAUUUUUUGUAGGGUUAUAAUUAUCCAUCAUUAUAAAGUGUGUUAUAAUUUAAAUUGUAAUUAAUAUGAUUUUUUAGUAUUUAGUAUUUUAUUAAAAAGAUAGAAUGAAUUUUUUAUUCUGUGAAAUAAUGAUUAAAUUAGUAUAUUUAAUUUGUUUAUAAUAAUUUAAAUGAGAGGAGAAUAUAAGGAAUUCGGCAAAAAUAAUUCUCGCCUGUUUAUCAAAAACAUGGCCUCUUGGAUUUUAAUAAGAGGUUUGACCUGCCCAGUGAAAAUUUAACGGCCGCGGUACUCUGACCGUGCAAAGGUAGCAUAAUCAUUAGUCUUUUAAAAGGAGGCUGGAAUGAAGGGUUUGACGAGGAAUUGACUGUCUCAUUUUUUUUUGAAUUUAAAAUUUAACUUUUUAGUCAAAAGGCUAAAAUUUUAUUGGUAGACGAGAAGACCCUAUAGAGCUUUAUAUUUAUUUGAUUAUUUAUAUUAUAUUAUUUAUUAUUAUUUUAGGUAAAUAUUUUGUUGGGGUGACAAAAAUAUAUAAUUAACUUUUUUAUUUUAAUUACAUUGAUUUAUGAAUAAGAGAUCCAUUAUUACUGAUUGUUAGAUUAAGUUACCUUAGGGAUAACAGCGUAAUCCUCUUCCAGAGUUCAUAUUUACGGGAGGGCUUGCGACCUCGAUGUUGGAUUAAGAUAAUAUUUAGGUGUAGCCGCUUAAGUAAUAGGUCUGUUCGACCUUUAAAUUCUUACAUGAUCUGAGUUCAGACCGGUUUAAGCCAGGUCGGUUUCUAUCUCCAAUUUUAUUUUUGUUCUUAGUACGAAAGGACCAGAACGGGGAAAAAUUUUCUUUCUAUUGAUUUAUAUUAAUUACUUUGGCAGAAAAGUGUCAUAGAUUUAGAAUCUAUUC
rnacentral:rRNA from 1 species